CAGAGGGUGCAAACGUUGUUCGGAAUUACUGGGCGUAAAGCGCGUGUAGGCGGCUAUGCAAGUCGGAUGUGAAAUCCCGCGGCUUAACCGUGGAAGUGCACUCGAUACUGCAAAGCUAGAGUCCUGGAGAGGAAGGUGGAAUGCUUGGUGUAGAGGUGAAAUUCGUAGAUAUCAAGCGGAACACCGGUGGCGAAGGCGGCCUUCUGGACAGUGACUGACGCUGAGACGCGAAAGCGUGGGGAGCAAACAGGAUUAGAUACCCUGGUAGUCCACGCCGUAAACGAUGAGUGCUAGGUGUCACGGGCUUUGACCCUCGUGGUGCCGAAGCUAACGCGUUAAGCACUCCGCCUGGGGAGUACGGCCGCAAGGCUA
rnacentral:rRNA from 1 species